CACUAUGCCUAGCCUUAAACUUAGAUAGGACACUACCUUUACCUAUCCGCCCGGGAACUACGAGCACCAGCUUGAAACCCAAAGGACUUGGCGGCGCUUCACAUCCAUCUAGAGGAGCCUGUUCUAGAACCGAUAACCCCCGUUCAACCUCACCUUCUCUUGUCCCCCACAGCCUAUAUACCGCCGUCGUCAGCCCACCCUGUGAAGGCCCAGUAGUGAGCAAAAUUGGCACAGCCCAAUACGUCAGGCCGAGGUGUAGCGUAUGAGAAGGGAAGAAAUGGGCUACAAUUGCUUAAACAGCUAAAACGAAUUGUAACGCUGAAAAUGCAAACAUGAAGGAGGAUUUAGAAGUAAGGGGGUAAGCAGAGUGUCCCCCUGAAUUGGCUCUGAAGCGAGCACACACCGCCCGUCACUCUCCCCAAGCUAUUUUACUUAACAAUAACUAAACAUUUCAACCCUGCUAAGGGGAGGCAAGUCGUAA
rnacentral:rRNA from 1 species